rnacentral:rRNA from 1 species
AUUGAACGCUGGCGGCAUGCCUUACACAUGCAAGUCGAACGGCAGCGGGCCUUCGGGUGCCGGCGAGUGGCGAACGGGUGAGUAAUGCAUCGGAACGUGCCAUUGAGUGGGGGAUAACGUAGCGAAAGUUGCGCUAAUACCGCAUAUUCUGUGAGCAGGAAAGCAGGGGGAUCGCAAGACCUUGCGCUCUGGGAGCGGCCGAUGUCGGAUUAGCUAGUUGGUGGGGUAAAGGCCUACCAAGGCGACGAUCCGUAGCGGGUCUGAGAGGAUGAUCCGCCACACUGGGACUGAGACACGGCCCAGACUCCUACGGGAGGCAGCAGUGGGGAAUUUUGGACAAAUGGGCGGAAGGCCUGAUCCAGCCAUGCCGCGUGAGUGAAGAAGGCCUGGUGUAAGUACGU